rnacentral:rRNA from 1 species
AGUGAACGCUGGCGGUAGGCCUAACACAUGCAAGUCGAACGGCAGCACAGUAAGAGCUUGCUCUUACGGGUGGGGAGUGGCGGACGGGUGAGGAAUACAUCGGAAUCUACUUUUUCGUGGGGGAUAACGUAGGGAAACUUACGCUAAUACCGCAUACGACCUACGGGUGAAAGCAGGGGAUCUUUGGACCUUGCGCGAUUGAAUGAGCCGAUGUCGGAUUAGCUAGUUGGCGGGGUAAAGGCCCACCACGGCGACGAUCCGUAGCUGGUCUGAGAGGAUGAUCGGCCACACUGGAACUGAGACACGGUCCAGACUCCUACGAGAGGCAGCAGUGUGGAAUAUUGGACAAUGGGCGCAAGCCUGAUCCAGCCAUACCGCGUGGGUGAAGAAGGCCUUCGGUUUGUAAAGCCCUUUUGUUGGGAAAGAAAAGCAGCAGGUUAAUACCCCGCUGUUCUGACGGUACCCAAAGAAUAAGCACCGGCUAACUUCGUG